UUUCCGUAGGUGAACCUGCGGAAGGAUCAUUAUUGUUUAACCGAGGUGCGAGGGCUGUCGCUGACCCGACAGGUCGUGCACGCCCGAGUGCCCUCACACACAUCCAUCUCACCCCUAUGUGCACCACCGCGUGGGUCCCCCUUGGGCUUGUUCGGAGGGGGGCUUACGUUUUCACACAAACUUUGUAUGCAGUGUAGAAUGUAUUUUUUGUUUUUGCGAUCACGCAAUCAAUACAACUUUCAACAACGGAUCUCUUGGCUCUC
rnacentral:misc_RNA from 1 species